GGGGCGGCGCGGAGGGCCGGGCGGAAGUGGGAGCCCGGCGGGCACCGCGCUCAGCCGGGCUGGGCAGGGCGGAGGCGGCGGCCGCGCAGGGACCGCUAGCGGCCGGGUGGCUGGGCCUGCGGGUCCGGCCGCCGCUUCCCGUCUCGGGCUGCAGUGCCGCCCGCGGCCGCGCGGGGGCGCGCUCGGCUGCCGGACAGCGCCGCCCUGGGCCGAGCCGGGCCGGGGUUCGGGUGGAGCAUGGCUGCGGCGCUCCUGCUCUGAGUCAGCCGUGCCUGGCUCCUCCAUGAACAAGGGAAAGGGGAAGUGCCUGCCGCAGGGAGGGGCCUAGCCCCGGGAACCUCAGAAGAGGGAAUUUUAUUCUUACUCAUCGAAUUAUUUUUAUGCUUUGGUUUUUCACUGGGAACCUCAGGCCUUUGUCUCCAGGACUUGUAACCCUUUGGGGUCCAAUGCAUGGGUGACAGUGCUGCUCAGAACUCCAGACCUGGAGGAGGAAGGGCUCUGUGCUUCCCUCAGCUCAGACCAGGGCAGCAAACAACAGCAUUAUCAUUAUCACUGCAAUUUACUGAACGCCUAUCACGUGCCAUUCACUCUGCUGGCAUUAUCGCACUGAGUCCUCAGUCUGUCCCAUUGAGGUGGGUACUGUUAGCCCGCAAUCACACAGUGGCACCGAUGGCAGAGCCGGGAUUCAAACCUGGAUGUCCCUGAACCCAGAGCAUGUGAUAGCCGCUCACUAAUAGGGCAGUGGGAGUCUGGCUCUCGUGUCCACUUUGCAUCCUUCUCUAGGAAUCAGCCAGAACAGUACGAUAUUCAGGAAGGGGCACAUGGGUAUUCACAUGGGCAGAGAUUGUGAAGGAGUGGGGGUCUCCAAGCCCCUGACCCGCACCUGCCUCCCUGGUAGCUCCCUUCAUCUGUCCUGUCUUGCCCUCCAGCACUGGGGCCUCUGAGGGCACGCUCGGUUCUCAUGCUGCACCCGGUGCCCUGUUCCACUUCACGCUCCAGUGUCUGCCCUUGCUAGAGCCCCAGCUCCUUCCAGGUGGGAUCAGCUUUCCUCUGAAAGGCCCUUGUCUGCCUCGCUCCACCAGAGCCAUAGGUCUGCCAGGAUGCCUUCCAGUGCCCCAUCCUGAGUUCUGAAGUGGAAGACCUGGGGUUGGUUUCUUUGCAAAGGGAGGAAGACACUCAGCACUCAGGGAUGCUGCUCUGGGAUCUCUAAGAUGCCCCUCCCCCUGCUAUAUGCAAAUCACUCAUCAUAUGCAAAGCACUUCACAAUAUACAAAUGAUUUCACAAUAACACAGUCAGCAUUCCUGCCUCUGGGGACUGAGGGCUGCUGGCCACCAGCAAGGGGGUAGGCAAGACUCAGUCAAAAAUGCCACUCGCUGCCUUCUUACUGCCCUUUCCUCUCACCUGGCCUAGAAUUUUCAUGGUCAGACUCCCUAAGGGAUUAAAGCAACAAGCGCAUUGCGGGUGUGAUGGGACUUGAGAAGAUGACCAUCAGCAGGGAGGGCCAGGUGGAAAGACGCGGUGGGUGUGUUCCACGCAAGCCAUGAAAUGCUCUGCUCUCUUCUCUUUUCCUUGCUGUCCGCGGGGCUGGAGGAGCACAGGCCUCCCCAGGCACCGGGCCUCGGCCUCAGUGGACUGCCAGCUCCUUCGGAGAGUGGAGCCCAGGGGGGCCAGAAAUGGGAGGCGCCGGACUUGCUGCUGCCGAUGUGGAAACAGGGGCAGCUGCAGCCCGGGCGGCUCCGGGCUGGGCGCCCCGACCCUGCCCAGAGGGGCCCAAGCGGGCCCACCACCCCGCGUCCCUACUAGGGCAGAGGAUGGCCUGAGUUACCCCCACACCAUCCUUCCCAUCCCCAACAGCUUCUCCAAGAGGAAGGGACCAGGCGGGGCCUGGCACUCAAGGCCCAGCAGGUGGUCCAGGAGGUCAGAGGUUAGGGGUGAGAGCUGUAGGCCAGGAGUCCGGCCAUGCGGCCUCGGCUCCAUCCUUCACUCACCGAGUGCCUUUGGCCAUCCCUGACCCACUCCAAGCCUUGGUUUCCCCUUUUGUUUAGUGAUCUUGGCACCCAUGAUCUAAAAUCUCUCACCUCUUCCUGCCCCAAUUCUGACAUCCCUUGACUUGUACAUCCCAAGAGACUCAGCUUUGGGGACACACUGAGCAUGGAGGUUGGGACCCUCAGAGUGGGUCUGACAGAGAGGGGACCUGGUGAGACUGGGGGGAAGGAAAGGGCAUACCAGGCGGGGAAUAGACUGGAACAAGGCUUGGAGGCGGGAAGACCAGGACCAAGUCUGGGAGACAGGGUGUCAACGGGACGGUCAGAGAGUGGGAGGUGGCAAGGUUGAUCCAGAAGGAUUCAAAAGAGGGAGAAAGAUUUUUAGGAAACUGUUUAUUCCUGCAAACCUUAAGAAAGGGUUUGACAGCCCUCAUUUGGAGGGUGGGGGCAGGGCCAGCCCUUCCUGUCCGCCAAGGAGAUGGGUGCCCAUGUGGUGAGCUGGGGGGGGGCCUCGCAGGGCCCCGCUCCUUCCCCCGUCUGUCGGUUGUCUGGAUUCCACCGUGAGGGCCAGGCCUUAGGAAUCUGCUCACCCUCUUCGUGAACGUGUUUGUUUUGCUUUUAAGCUGCUAUUGCAAGAAGGGGAGGGGAGAUGACUUCGCUUCUUGUUGAGUUUGCUGACUGUAUCUGACUUCUGGAGAAAGAGUUUCUUUGCGGGAAGGCCAAGCCCCCUGGGAAGUGACCAGUCCUAUGACUGAGUUCAGCCACCCCCUUGAUCCAGAAGGUUCUCAGAUGCCCUCCCCACACGUAGCUCCCCCGGCAUCUCAAGGCCUGCCCAUCACAGCACAAGGACUGGUUCCAGCCAUGGAGGCAUGGGGAUCCCAAGACCAGAGGCCCAGCCUGAGGGGCCAUCUAGCCGGCCUGGCCCCCACCAUCCUGUCCUCUGCCUUGGUGCCCUGGGCCGGCCCAAGUGCUGAGUUGGCGGCCCAGCAGCUGCUUCUGCCCACGGAGGCCCAGUUAUAAAUAAGCCCAGUGUGGCCAAGUCAUCAAGUUCUGUCUCAGCUGCAUUACCUCAGUGACCACAGGUUGGGGCUGCCCAGAGCUGGGCCCACCAGAACUUGCCCGCCCAGACCAAAGGCCAGGCCAACUUGAUACCUCCUGGGGUCCUCAAAUCCAGGGCUUGAGCAUCUGCAGCUGCUCAGACCUGGGCCUCCCUGGACACAGGCCGCAGAAGGGGCAGGGCCCAUCCCGCCUGCACGGAGCCAGCAGCUAUUUACAAACCGAAACCGGGAGAAGUGAAGUAGCUGCGGCCGAAGUGGCUCCAGGCCCCCAGCCCCACAGCCCCCACUCCCACUCCAUCCCCGGCAGCCCCAUCCCCCUCUCCCCAUGGCUUCCUCUUUCCUUCCCCACACAGCUCCCCAGCCUCCCACUGCCCGGCCAGCUCUCUCUGGACAACCGGAUGGCACCUCGCAGUGACCCCCAACUCCACAGCCGCCGGCUUGCGGGUCCCCUUCUCCUUUUCGCCCCCGGGACCCCAUCAGUCUGGGUUCCCUGGAGCAGCCCCCUCCCACCCAGGCCCAGCCCACCCCAGCCUGCCCAAGGCACAUUCCCACAGUUCUCAGUUCCCCUUGGUGUUUGGAAAAGCUCCAACACCAAUGGCCGCCCCGGGGCUACCCGGCCCUGCCUUAGGACAGCUUGUCUGGGCGCCCUCAACCUUCACAGGGCCCAGGAGUCGGAGGGCUGCGGUGGGACUUGGGGCACCUGGGGCCUUCGGGGAGCGUGUUUCUGGCAGGAGGCCCCAGCCAUCAUGCUCUCUGAGUGGGUUUCAGCCCGCUCAUCAGGCUGGGGUGGCUCACAGGCCCUCGUGUGGUACAGAACUGAGCUGGGACAGACAGACACUGGGCCCAGACCACAGCACAUGCUGCUUUGGAGCUGGCAGAUGGGACAGUGCUGCAGCGGGAGACCGCUUCGAGGAGCGACAACAGACGACAUCAUUAAUACUCGUUACUACUGAUAGACAAAGUCGGUCACAUCGGUGCAGAGACUCCCAGUUACAUGAGUCAGUUCUUUCUGUCCCCAGAGCACGCCUAUCCCAUUAUCUCCAUCAUAAAGUGGAAACUGAGGCUCAGAGGGGAAGCCACAUGUCUGAGGUCACACAGCUAGAAAGUGUCUGGAUUGAGAUUGGAGAUCUCCUGACACUCAAGCCCCUUCUUUCUCCAUCUGACUCGGCUCCUUGCUCAAUCUUAUACCUCAGUCUCCCUCCUGGGACGAUAGAAGUUUCCCAGGGCUGUGACAAAGGCAGAAGCAGGGCUGGCCUGAAGCUUGAGGCCUUGGACAGCAGAGUUCUCAGUUGCCAUCCCUGGCCAGGCCAUCAGUGCCCAGUGCCCCUGUCUUGCCCCGAGGGAAGGGUCUCCCUGCCCCUCCUCCCAAGUCGCAGCUGAGGUAAGAGCUCUGGCCUGAGCCCCGCUCAGCCACAGCCAGCUGGCUGAUUUGAAAUUAACCUCUCUGAGCCUUAGAAUCCUCUUCUGAGAAAUUGUGAUUUCACAAACACCGAGCAGGUACUCAGUGCCAGCUCUAUGCUGGGUGCAAGCUGUCUCUAAAGCUAGGACAUGGCCCCUGCCCACAGUCCUGUGGAGAAGGCAGAUGACCUAUAAAAUCUUGAGACCUCCGAGAGGGAAACUGAGGCUGUGGGACAUGCAGAAGAAGUGAUGAGUGCUCCCUGGGGUGGGGAGGGGUGGCACUUGGCAUGGACCUUGAAGGACAGGAAAGAGUUCCGCAGCAAAAGCAAGGGGACUGGCUUUCCAUGCUGAGUCACACUCCUAUGCCUUAGCUCCAGUAGUUCCCACGCCCGAGUAUCCUUCCUUCCUCUGGGCCUGGUGAACUCCUACCCAUCCGUCAGGGCCCAUGGACACACCAUAGCAUGACCAGGCUUGGCCUGGCCUGGUGGCUCCUUAGCUCCCUUUUCCCACCCAGCGCCAGAGCAGAUCGGGAGGCCAGGCCUCUUUGGUCACAACGCCCUCGCCAGCCCCACCCGGGCAGGCGUCUGCUCCCGGGCUCCAGCCCCCGCCGUCCCCUGCUCCGAAAAGCACCGUUUCCCUUUUCUGGGUGACCACACGCCAUGCACAGGGAAUUUCCAUCGCAGCCUGCGGGGCCUCUGAUUCACCCAGGCCCCUCAUGCAGUUAACUCCUUCUGGGCCCGUGCCUCCUGCUCCUGCACCCCGCACUGCCCCCCAGCAAGCCGGGGCCCCCUGGGCAGCCUCGAACUGGCCUUGGGCCCCACAUCCUGGAAGUCGAAGGCAGCCUCUCCCUCACUGGCCCCCUCAGGGCCCUCUCGCUCCCCUCCUAGGCAGAGACCCCUGUCCAAGGAGACAUGGCACACACCCCGAGCCCGCUCUGGGCUGGGAGCACCAGCGUUGGAGUAAGAUCAGCCUGGGUCCCAUCCUGAUUCCGGCCCCUUCUGCUCUGUGACCUGGAGCAGUGCCUGCGUCUGCUCUGCGCCCCACUUCUCAUCUGUAAAAUGGAGAUCAUUCCAUCCCACGGCCUUGUUGUGAAGGUUCAACUGCCGGGCCCCUGGUGGCAGCUCAGUAACAAAUACUUUUCCCUUCUGCUUCUCAAAGCGCCCCUCUCAUCCUGUCCCGGGGUCCCCACUCCACACCUGGGCCCCUUUUCUCCCUCUGGCUUCCCUGUCUCAAGAGCUGGUGGCUCAGACGGGGAGGGUGAGAGAGAAGUGUGGGAAGGGCAGAGGAGGGGAGGUCGCUGUCUCACGGCUCCUCCACCAGCUUCCCAGCUCCUUGCAUUUCUCAGUUUUUCCAAGGAGGCUGUGGAGAGGCCAGGGGUCGGGAACUCUGAAGGGCUGAAGGCUGCAGAGAUCCUGAGCUCCCGGGGACAGGGUGAGCCUUCCUCCCUCCCGAGGGAUGCUGGGCACACACAUCACCCUCAAGCAUCAUGCCUGCUACCUCAUCUAAUUCUCACGACAUGCCAGCUGCAUCUUAUUAGUGCUCCCUUUUGUAGAUGAGGACAUUGAAGCCCCGAGGAGUGACUUGUCCUCAGCCAGCCAGCCAACCAAGGGAAGGGACAGGAUUCAAGUCGAGGUCUCCAGAGCCACACUCCUAACCCCCAGAAGGCUCAGUAAGCAUGUGUGGAGGCCAAUGAGGGAAACAUGCACUAAUUGAACCCCUGCUGUAUACCAGGAAAAGGCUUACAAAUCUCUGUCAGUCCUUUGAACAAUGCUGGGAGAUGGGUCUUGACCCCCCCCCCCACACACACACACACACAAAAUGGAAGCCUCUGAGCUUUGGCUGGGGGAAGGAAUUCGUCCAAAGGCCAUCGGGCGAAUCACGGGGAAGGGUCCAGGGGUGUUGGGGGCUCUGCAGAGAAGGGGACCUGGGGGAAGCGGCUCCUGUCCUCAGUGAGAGAGCAGAGGUGGGGGGGUGCUGCCCGUGGUGAGCAGAAGGAAGUCACUGUGGGUGGCGGUGGGUUUGAGGUGCCGGAGGCUGAGUGAUGUGGCGGGAGGUGAGCUCCCCGCUGCAGGCCUGGUCAGCAGGAGACGAGCGUGCGGUGGGGUGGCCGGGAUUUGGGGCACGGCGGAUCUCUGUCCCCUGGCCGCUGGGGCUGGGGAGCAGGCGGCAGGAGCUGGCGCAGAGUGAGAGGAGGGACUCGGGGGGCUGGAGGGCUAUCUGGGGAGGCAGCCUGGAGGAGGUGAGCCCUUGAAAGACGGAGGCCUUAGGGUGUGGAAGGGGGUGGCCUGUGAGCAAAGGCCGUGGGAGAUUGAGAAAGAGGUUCUGGGAAUGUUGAGCAGUAUCUUCUGGCUGGAGGUGGGGGUGGGGCGGGUCCGCGUGGGUGGGGGAGCGGGGAGAGGCUGCUCAAUUGGGGAUGUUGGGGGCUCCUGCAUAGGCCUCAGAGAUUUAGACUCCAGCCAAGCUUCUUGGGUAGGGAAAUACCCACGGGACAAACUCCACAUGGGGACAGCGGAAGCACAGGCCCCGGAGCCACUCAGAGCAGCAGUCACCUCUCACCCCACUCCAGGCUGUGUGUCCUCGGGCACGCCCCUCACCACUCUGAGCCUCAUCUCCCUCCUCUGUAAAAUGGCACUGAUCCUCAAACGCCUGCCUCACAGGAUUGUGGGAGGGGGGUGAGUUAACACAGAUAGACAAGGGGCUCAACUAAUGUCUGCUCCUCUUCCCCUGCUGUUCUCAAGGCCCACAGCACCUGCUGUGGAUACAGCUGGGGUCUCAGGCAAACCGAGGCUUGAGCCUCACCUGUACCAGAUUGGCUGAGCCCUGCUGUGCAAGGCAUGGACCACUUCUGAGCCUCAGUUUCUCCAUCUGUCCCCCGGGGAUGAUAAUGGCACCAACUUCAGAUUCAACGAAGAGAGAAUGAGCCCUGCCACGGUACCCUGUUUCACCCCAAAUCAGAACCAAAUCCCACACAGUGCCCCCAAGGCCCUCCCUGCCCCAGCCCUCACCUCUCUUGCCUCACCUCCUGCCCCUGGCUCUACUCACAGCGCCCCCCUCGCUGCUCCUGGUUUGUGCGUUUGUAGGGGAGGUCCCCUGCCUGGAGCUCCGCUCCCACAUACCUGCUGGGCUCGCUCCCUCACUUGCUGCCACAGUUUAUUCAAGUGUCCCCUUCUCGGUGAGGCCUGUCCUGCCCAUCCUCUUUAAUAGUGCACACUGUCCCCGCUGUCCUACUCUGCUCCUGCCUGGGGUCCCCGCCACCCAGCGAUAUGCUCUCUUUCUUAUAGUGAUGUUACUCUAACAUGCAGUGAAAUGCCCUCAGCUACUAAGCUACCCCCUGUCUUCCCUGCUUGAGGACAAGCCCCAUGAGGACAGGCAUCUUUGCCCGUUCAGGUCGCCUGGCCCCAAGAGGCCCUGAGUCAACAUUUGCUGGAUGUCCCAGAGCACGAAGGAGCCAGCCCAGUGCACUGACCCGACUCGAGGAGCUCUGAGGGGCCCAGGCGACCCAGACUGGGGCUCAAGGAGCCUCUCGCAGUGUCUCAACCGUGAGAGGAAGUUGCAAGACAGCCAUUUCUGUACACGGGUUCAGCUCUUUUUGGUCAACUUUCCCAGCUCUUGGCCUGAGGCCCGACUUUCCCCACAUGCCCCGUCACUCCCCGUGGGGACCGAUGGCUGGGAAAGUGGGAGGGGGCGUUCCCUCAUUUGAGAGCUCUUCGGGGCUGAGGUUGAGGGUGCGCGAGUGCGGGGGUCGUGUCCCCCUCUGUGCACUCAGGUUCGAGGGUACAGCACCCACAUUUCCUGUUGUCUGCGUACCCUGUGAUUGCAAUAGCACCCAGACUCCCUCUUCAGCGGCCCAGCCCAGUGCGGGCAAAGGGCUGCCCAGCCCUCCACCAACUACCCCAGGCCUGCCUGGCCUCGCCGUUGCUCUGCAGGGCCCAGCCCUACAGGGCCACCUACUUGUCCAGUGGGCUGGGGAGACAGCACUGUCAUGUGCUGCUGGGAGGAGGGUAAGUGGGUACAACUUUUGUCAAGGGCAGUGUGACUGUCUGUCAUCCGUCUCUGUCUAUCACUUAUCAUCUAUCUCAAAAUUUAAAAUGCAGUACACCUAAAACUAAUACACUAUUACAUGUCAAUGAUAUCUUAAUUAAAAAAAUAUAUGUCUGACAUUAAAAGAGGUGAGUCAAAAAUUCCUGUGCACUUAUGUUAUAAAAUCUAGAUAAAUGAGCUGGUCUCUUCUCCAAAGAGUUAUGAUAGAGAUGUCUCAUUUUCACUAUUACUCAUAAUUUAAGGACUUUUAAUUUCUAUUUAAGGUAAUUUCAGAUACUACUUGUUGGUGUCUAAAGGGAGGUGCACAAGGUUGUAUUUGGUUGUGGUAAUUUCCUUUUCAGUAUCAAUCUCUUAUUUGUCAAGAUGAGCCUUGAAAAAUUAAAUACAGAAAAAAGAGAGUUUAUCGUAUUUUAGUUUCCCUUCAAACAUUUACAGUUGUCUUUUGGCAUCUGCCGAGGAUUUGUUGCAGGACCCCUUUAGAUACCAAAAUCCACGGAUGCUCAAGUCCUUUAGUCGCCCUCCGUAUCCGCGGGUUCCGCAUCCACGGAUCCAACCAACCGCGGAUCGUAAGCAUGGUACGUGUAAACACGGUCCGGACCGAUCCGCAGUUAGUUGAAUCCGCGGGUGCAGAACCUGCGGAUACAGCGGACCGGCUGUGCUUCCACAGGAGUAGGCUUUUCUCCUACAUUGUUUUCAUCUAAGGCAAAAGAAUACGUUUUGUUCUUCACUGUUGAAGGAUGCUUUUUUAGAGACAAACAAAUGUAAAAGCAUGAGAACCGCUACCUUGAGCUGGCGCUGUAGUCCGUGUAGCCCAGGGAACGUUUAACUCAAGUCUCCUCCCAACUAUUCCAGCUACUCCCCUCCAGCUUCCUGCAAAGAAAAAAAAAAAGCACUGCCCUUUGACCCAGCAUUUCAACUUUGGGGAAUUUAUCCUAGACA